GAUGAACGCUAGCGGCAGGCUUAAUACAUGCAAGUCGAGGGGCAGCAUGAUUGUAGCAAUACAAUUGAUGGCGACCGGCAAACGGGUGCGGAACACGUACACAACCUUCCAAUAAGUGGGGAAUAGCCCAGAGAAAUUUGGAUUAAUACCCCGUAACAUAACGAUGUGGCAUCACAUUGUUAUUAUAGAUUUUUCGCUUAUUGAUGGGUGUGCGGCUGAUUAGAUAGUUGGCGGGGUAACGGCCCACCAAGUCUACGAUCAGUAGCUGAUGUGAGAGCAUGAACAGCCACACGGGCACUGGGACACGGGCCCGACUCCUACGGGAGGCAGCAGUAAGGAAUAUUGGACAAUGGACGCAAGUCUGAUCCAGCCAUGCCGCGUGAAGGAUUAAGGUCCUCUGGAUUGUAAACUUCUUUUAUAAGGGACGAAAAAAGGCUUUUCUAAGUCGUCUGACGGUACCUUAUGAAUAAGCACCGGCUAACUCUUGUGCCAGCCGCCGCAGUAAUAC
rnacentral:rRNA from 1 species